ensembl:lncRNA
GGGUGUAGUUCUCCCCCCUCCAUUUGGUCCCAGACCUGAACGAACGAUGUGAAAGCUUCUUCAUUGGAAAACCUAAUGGUGUCUGUGUUUCGCGUAGAACAGGUGGAGGUUCGGAGCGGCUCCCCGCAGGGCCCACCCCCCCCCCGACCGCGGCCCCCCGACCGCGGCCCCCGAAAACGUCUUUCAAGUGUCUCCAGUAAUUGCUACUGGAUUCACACGGAGGAGAACAGCAGACGCUUGUGAGGCUUGAAAGGCACCUGCUGUCUUCUUUUCACAGCCUUAAUGUCCUGAAUUCCCCGUCCACACACAGAGAGACACGAUGUCUCCGUCCCUUUAGUUUCUGACACGUAUAGAAGAUAUUUGACGGAUACCACAUGUGACCUUUGAGCAAAUAACUGUUCAAUGAACCUUAAUGGAGGGAAAGGAUUUGAAAUGAUUCCUAUAUAUCGGUUAUUGGCCGGUCCUUUCAAAGUAAGACUUAGUUUUAUAGUCAGAGUAUCGAGGUAAUUAUUCAUUAAACCAGCUUUAACAGCUGAUGAGGUGAUUUACAGAUGAAAAGAAUUACAACAAACUGUAGCUUUAUUUUAAUUUUUCAAAAUAAAACUUCCAACUUAAUUAACUAUUAAAAAGAUAAUGUUAGAAAUUGUUGACGGAUACAUUUUCCUCUUGUGGGAGAAGUUUUAUCAAUCCUAGAAAUACACGAUAAGUCAACUUAAACAGUGAUAGACAGUAUUGACAAAAGUCGCUGAAUCACACAUGCAGAAAUAUAUAUAAAUAUAUAUAUGUAUAUAUAUAUAUAUAUAUACUUUCUAAUACAGAAUACAUGUACUUUUAUUUGGAGAGGAUCACGUUUUUGAACAGAAGGCAGAAUAAGUUUUUAAGCCAAUGACUCGCCGGCACACUUGGGCGGUGGGGAUGCAUCACACUCGCAUUAUUCUUAUAAACCCACCUUUUAAUAUUCAGCCAGCGUCCGAUCAGUAGCUGCUUGGAAAUAACUUUAUUCAGACUCCACCUGCUGUAUAAUUCUAAAUCUGAAAAGGCAAUUAACUCGGGGGCCAGCCUUGUUAUUUCCUGGCUGUCGAGGAGUAUUUCUGCAGAAUGGGAAGCCUGAUAUGAGGAGCAUACAGUAUAUAUUCAUAUACACACGCGUACACUGUAUAUAAAUAACAGCGUGUAUUUACUGCCUGUGACAAUCUGUGCUGGAUGAUUCAUUCAUUUUAUUUUUCAUGUUGGUCACUGAAGAGGAAAUUAUUAUUUCUCUUAUUUCUGUGACUUUGUUCCGUAAUUGUUUGCUUGAUUUUCGGGUGAAUUAUGAAAUCCUCUUUUUGAAAAUCCCUCCGUGAGUCCUCGAUGCCUUCCAGCUCGGCACCUCGCAGAGAUAAUAAUCUUAUCGUAGCAACACAAUCACUUUCUCACGAUAACGCGUUAAUUAUCUAGUAAACACAAUAUAGUUCCUGUCUGGCUUUCAAAUUAGCAGAAUAAUUAGCCAAACACCUCCAGAUAAAGGGUUUUGUUGUCUGUAGUGGAAUCACUUAAUAAAACACCGCGACCUCCUCGCUAGUGAAGCACCUGCUGAAUGAAUUAAAUCUGCAUUAAAACAAUUGAUUGAUCUGUAAAUCGAGGUGUAACAGCGGCAGAAAUAACAUCGCUGUUCAGUCUUCCUUAUUAAAAAAAGAUAUGAUGACAUCAUCAUAAUCAUUUCACUUGAUUUUUCCAUAUUCAACACAUUUCAAUUGCUCCUGAUACACGUAUGUGGAUCAUCAAAACUGAAUUAUUCUGGUGCACAGAUGCAGAUUAUUAGAUGCUGGUUCCAGGUUGGAGGGGAAAGUAGAAAUAAGGGAGUUGAAGGGAUGAGAAGUCUAUUUUCUUAUUUCAUCACACAAACACACACAUGUGCUCAUCGUCUUCAUUGAGCCUUUGCUGCUAAUUAAAAUGGCCGGAUGGUGAAGUCCAAAGACUUGAGCAAUAUUCAACCCCCGUAAAUAAGCUCAACCAUUAAAGUAAUGGAGGUCUAACAAGUGGAUUAUUACAUCUCACAGAGCUGUUAGAGACUGGAAACAUAUAAUAAAAAGGCCGGAUCUGCUGCUUAUGAGGAAAAAUAUCCUUCAAGCUCACCUCAGAUUUAGUUUGUGCGAAACAUAAAACAAAUGAGACGCAUUAAACAGAAUGUGUCCAAGCCAACGUUCACCUUGUGCUUUCAGAUGUGAAAGCGAGCUCGUCCUUCCCCCGUCUGAGUGCUUCUCCCCCGUCUGCAGAAUAACGGCACGGAGCGUCGACUCUUUGUUGAGUUCCUCCAGGCUGUGGACGCUCAGAUGGACGCGAGUCUCUGCCGGGGGGGUCCGCGUCCAUCCGAGCCCCCUCGUUGACCCGACAAGACGUGGUGGAAAGUGCAAAGUUUGAGCUCCGAGUCUCCAGCGUCCAUCGGGAAUCAGUGUUACGAAAAAAACAAAUGAUAGAGUGUCAAAUGCAGACCCGGAUUUAUUUAACACAAAGCUGCUUCAGUAGAUUAUGUAUAAAUAUUGAAUGUUUUGUUUGUUUAAGAGUCCAACCGGAUUUUUGAAAUGAUGUUUCGGACACAAAAUGAGGCGUUGAGAUUGUGACGAGUAAUAAAUCCUGUAUCAUGAGGAGAAAACCAGAGCUUGCUGCCUCUCUCUCUUCGUUGAAGGGCACAGUUGAUGAGCUGAUGUGGGGGGUGAUGGGGGGUUAUAAUCGAUCCCGAGCAAGAAACUGUUUGUUCCCCCCCCCCCCCCCCCAGAGUCCCAGUAACUCAUACAGGAGUAUGGAUCGCCUGCCACCGGUGAGAUCUGAGGCCUUCUCUCUGUCUUUGUAAGAAACAUAAACACUGAAACCGGGACAGCCGUGUUUUAAUCCGUCUCCGUCUCCGAUAAGAAUUGACUGUUUUGUGUCCACGUGUUCAUUUCUCACCCACAGCAGAGUCGAGAUUAGCAAGAUGGGAAGAAAUUAAAUAGUGGCCAUUACAAUGUGCAACAGAUAAGAGUGUGAACACUUAUUUCAUGUAGUAUAUUUCACAGGAUUUACCUGCAGUGUCAAAUGGGGACUUUGUCCCAAAACAUUAAGUCAUUAUUUUGUCUCAACUUUCCCUCAACUGAGUAGUUUUUUGGCCUAAAGUUGACCAAAGAGGAACUUUUAACUGGUUAUGAGACUAUGAGACUGUUAAGCGAUCUCCUGUUUGGUGGAGCAGAAGCGCCUCGUCUGAUGAAUUUAAUCUGCACACGUCCCCACAUCUCACAGUCGGUUUCAAAAUUCAUGCUCAUUAAAAGCAUAUCAGUCACAAAGACGUCAUGAAAUAACGCGUUGGGGUCCGUUCACAAACCGCUUCCCAACACUUGGUUCCAUUUCCUGCCCUUGGAGGCCGAUCGGCGUCUCGGUGAUGCUCCACGGGGCUUCGCUGGGUCGGCCGGCUUAAGAAGAUAUCGCAAACAGCGAGGGAGAAAAGAAGGAUUUGCUUUACAAUGGCACUGACUUUUAUUUUAUAUUUUCUUUCUUUUCAAAUAGUAAAAAGCCCCCCAGGAGCGAAAAAAGCCGAAGAUUACUCUCAACGUGCCUCGGCCCCCUCGUGCGUGAGCGGCCUCUGCAAGUUCCUCAGGAGGACAUGAGGCCCCCCGAGCCUCCGACAGGACACCCCCCCCCCUCAAAGGUCAAAGGUCAAUCAGUCCCCGUACUGGGAAACACCUCCUGGGGAGGGAAGGAAAAUCAACCCCCGGCCCGGUUGAUCCGCUUCUUCUGAUCGAGCUGAAACGCGUCUCAAAGACGCCACAGAUGCAGGAAACUGUGCUGCAGCUGUUUCGUGGGUAUAAAACAGCUGGAGUGAAUCUUAAAGGGGGCGGGUCACUCUUCCGUGUAUGUAAAUAUGUAAAUGAUGAUUUCAAAGAGAAAACACAAGCUUUUCUUGAAAAUGACACGGCUGUGAAUAAGAAUGAAGAACUGAGGAGCUUCUCAACAAGUCAAAAUGGCCUAAAUGCCGCUGAUGUGUCUCGUCUCCUUCCAGGUGUUUCUAGGAUCGAUUCCCACGACGUUCUAAUCUGCCUUUAAAUGAGCGAAUUAAGUCUUUUUCACGAGGGGAAGCGAGCUGCCCGCCAUUGCGCCCGACGUGCGUUUGAGGGCUGCAUAGUGAAACUAAUCACGUUACAGCGUCUGCAGUGUUUCUGCUCUCAUGAGCGCCGUGACCUUGAUUUCGCUGCGAGAGAGAGAGUUGCCCUGGUUACAAAGUCUGCUUUUUUUCUGCCCUUUUCUUUGUCCCUUUAUUUUAUCUACAAGUUGCAUGCGGUUCUCGUCACCGGGCAUCCUUAUCAACCGCUGUCCAGAGGCCCCCAACCCAGCGACCAUUCACGGCCCCCGGGAGCCAGCGCGCCGGAUGACUGCACGCGCACAACGAGAGACACACUCACACACACUCACUCACUCAGCUUGCACGGCGUUUGUGCGUAUGAGACGCCGAGGGGUUGAAAUAAGGUGGCGAGGAGAUGUGGCGUUCCGGAGGAUCCGACCAGUCUUGCGCCGUGACCCUUUUUUCAUCGUCGGCCGAGUCGCAGAGAGAAACAACACUCAUCGCCCGCGGCGACGGAACUGCAGCCGAGAGAUUAAACGUACCGUGGCUGCAACGAGAACGACAACGCCUUUUUCGCACAACUAUGAACACAACCUAGUGGGAUGCAAGUCGUGCAGAAGACUUGAGGGCCACAACUCACCCGUCAUUCGCGUAUCAAUCACUUAACGAAUGUGUCCUUGGUUGCUGGAGUUUGGCCUGAUAACGGCACCACAACUGACGCAACCAGAGACAAACAGGACUACUUCUGACCCCGGACGUGAACUUUGAACAUCAUGGACACAUCCACCUGAUUUAUUACAGAAGCAAACGCUGCCCCCCCCCGAGCUGCAGCGUGUAAACGUUCAUUAAUGUGCCGUUGUGGUGCGCAGCCCUCUCAGUGUGUAGCUGCUCCACGUGCACAACGCGCCUGCAGGGAACUAGCUGGUACCGUGGUGAUCACUCUAUAACCGAACUGCUCGAGCCUCGUUUCCAGGACAGUUUGCGCCACAUUUUAUCCAGAAGGGCCUCUGGCAGAAAGCAAAUGUGCCGCAUUCGCAUUUCUGGCUGAGAUCCUGAGACUGUGAGGGCAAAGUAUCAAUGAAAAACUUUAUAAAUGAGUUACUUUACGCUUUCUUUAUGCUCUCAAUCUAGAAUGUAAAUAGCUGACGCCUUACAAGAUGAUAGCAACACAAAAACAAAUGUCAAUAUAAAGUAAAAGAAUAUUAUAUGAGUUUAAACAACGCUAGAAAAUGAUCUAUGAUUAGUGAAGUUUACAGUAUGAAUAAUUUCCAGUGAGAGUAUAUCACAUUUUUCUUUAUAUUAUCGUAAUGUGAUAUAUUAGCAUAUUGUAUCCUCUGAUUUGAAUAACUUUGUUGGUGUUUGCAAAUGGAAAGUGGUGUUCAGACCCUAAUUUCACAAACAUGAUUACGCUUUGAAGGUAGACGCGGUGAAGGCGUCUGCAUCUGUCCAGUGUUAAAACAACAAUCAUGUUUCCGUUAAGGGUUUAUUGCAUUAAUUCCCCCUCUACAUUGUACAGGAAGUUAAUCUAAAUCAAGGAACGCGGACUUAAAAUCCAAUAAAUAUUACAGCAGCUUUGAAUGCGUUGAAAUCCUCAGACUGGCUGAUUGAGUUUGAGAGCUUCUUUCAUCUCCAUUAUAAAUACAUGUGAGUACAAAUGAGUUUUAUUUUCACUCUUUGAUUGGACAUCAGAUGUCCCAGUUGCACCAACGAGGAACAUUGAUCUUGUCCUUUGAGAGCCUGUUGGUUUAAAAACGUCUCUUUGGAUCCUGAUAAGAUAUGUGAGGAAAAGAGGAAAACAACAUGCAGCCCUGGAGGCUGCGAUCUAAAGAAGCUAAAACACAUAUUAACAAAUGCAGGAACAGCGCGGCAAACGCCUGCAGUCUGUGCCGCCGCCGCGCGAUACAUGACAGCACAGCUUGAACUCUGGCUGCACGAAAGGACCUUCAUGUGACGCCCCGGCAGGAAACAGGGGUCACUGAGGGGUCACUGAGAGGUCACUGAGAGGUGUUAACGUGGCCUCGGGGCUUUUUUCUUCUUAAUCACAGCAACUGUGAUUAGGUGGUCCCUGUGGGAGAAAUUUUAUUUUCUAAAAGAACCUUUUUAACUCUCGGAACUAAAGAGAAGUCAACGGGUCACUCAGAACGACAUCUCGACUCCGACUGCAGGCUUUUUAGUCGUUCAAAACCUUGAAUUUGUCCCUUUUCCGUUUUUUCAGAGAAAAGUCAGCGUGGGUGGAAACAAAAAACUUGUGUCGGGACGGAAGAGACACUUUCUUCUUUCCCCGCGUGGUGGCGUGCGAGGCCUCGGGACGGAUGGUUGACAUCGUGAGCAUCGUUCACUUCUCUACUGGACAUAUUUUUUUCAGGAAAUGGUGCUUCAGUUGAAAUUGAAAAUGGAUCAGUUCCCCCCAAAAGAUGUUUGGAUUUUGUUUUUUUUCUUUGUGAGAUACGACGGGGAAUGUGAUCUAAAAGGUAUUUGUUUCCUCUCGACGUCGAUGGUGAUGGACUUUUGCAGGAAAACCUCCUUUGAAGAACUUUAAGUUCUCACGCUUUGCUUUCUUGACAAUCAGCUGAAGAUACAACCAGGCCAAAGGAACUAAAAGCUCCCUCAUGACUGAGAAGAAAACCUCUCUUAUCAGAAAUCAGGAACAUUUACUGCCAAACUCUGGACAAUAAGUAAAUAAGACAUCGGACAACGAGACAAGCCGAGUGCAGGAAAUGCGGCGUAAAUGCACUUUGCACCACUCUCUGCAGCGCCGUCUCCUCCUCCGUUCCCGACUGAUUGAUGCGCUCACAUUCCCCUCGACUAGCAUUUCUUUUGCAUGCGCCCGCUAGAGAUGAAUCUCACUUUGGGCGGGAGGGGUGAGGGGGGUGAGUCCUGAUGAAUGGUGGAGGUGAUGGCGGCUGACAGCCGGAGUGGCCCCGGCGCCGAGAUGACUCAGGGAACCCGCCGCUCUCGUCCCCAAUGAUGACAUUUGAUUUUUUCCUCUUUUUUUAUUUUUUUAGCUGGCACCUUUUCUUGCAGCACAGAGGCUUCAAUCGAUAGCUGCCCCUCGCUCUCGUACCCUCCCCUUCCCCCCCCACCUUCACCCCCCCCGUGUGCUUUCACCACGGCGCUCUUUUCUCAGUGUCGCGUGUCCUCGCCUCUCCUUCCUCCUCGCUCCAUCGUCCUCCACUCUCAGCCGCGCAUAUCUGUGGAUAACUAAUGAUAAUGGACUCUGCUCCCCGAUGUGAGGAACCCCUGCAAUCAGCCCGUGCGCGUGACGCACGCGUUGACGGCCUUAAAUUUUCUCAGGCUUCAACGCCACCUAAAGGUCAUCAACAGCGAGGUGACGGAGAACACGAAUAAACCACCGGGCCCAGCGAAGAGGCGGUGAUUCAUUCGGGCAGCAGCGGGAAACUGCGACCGGAAAACGAACAGAAACGCACAACGUCUCCCUUUCUCUUUCGUGAUCUUACCAGGAAAAGUGCGCGUUCUGUCACCAAUGUGGAACUAAAUCGGCGACACAUUUCGGUGUGAUCUCCCCCUCAAAGGCCUCAUCCAUCCACGUGUCUCGUGCCGACGACUUGAGCGGUGACUCACGCAGUGCUGCGGGGACGGCGUGCCAACUCAUCAGGCGCUUCCAGGGGCGGGAUUCAUCUCUCGAAGCUCAUUAUGACGCAGUGAACAAAAGCGCGCCGCGGUGACCACACGUGGUAAAUGCAUCGUGACCUCGCGUUCGUGUUGAGCAAAUGGCGCCGCGCGGACAAGCGUAUCAAACAAAGAAGCCCUCGGCUACCACAAAAGGAAAGAAGCUUUCAUUAAAAGUGAAUAAAAUCCUCAGACUGAAUGAGACACUUGUGUUUCACUGCUGUUGUUGUGCAUUUUCACGUAAAUCAUUUUGAGUGGCCUCCUCAUGAAAAGUUCCUGCACCUUUAGUGGAGGUUCAGGAGUUGGUGUCUUGCUCGUCUUUGGUUCUCCUAUUGGUGGUGAGAUAAGUGUCUCCUCAAAGGAAGAGUCAACAAUCCAGCGUCUCUCAAUUUGCUCUGAUCUUCUGGAUCUUCUUACCUGAGAGGAAGUGUGAGAGCUUUCCUCUCGACGGCCUUCUUUCUCUCCUCCUCCCCUCCGUCACGAAUCCACAAUCUCCAAUUUUGUCUUUAAUCUCGGUGUUUAUCGCUCUCUCUCGGGGGGAGUCACGGCAGCUAAUCAGAGGCAUCUGCUCCUGCGCGGUUCCAGCAUCCCGUCACCACAAGCCCAACCCGCAGAAGAAGCACAACACGGAGCCACCAUGAGGCCCUUUGGGCCUUUUCCUCUUCGCCUCCUCCAUCGCUCCACUGCCCGGGCCAUCCGCCCGGACACAAAGCCAGAGGCCUCAGGCGGGACGUCGUUUCUCGCCGUGACAAGAGGAGAACACGUCCUGCUACUGAUGGACGGCUCGGUGAAGCUGUUGUCACCGUUUGGGAUUCGGCCGUCUGCAAUUGAGGGAUGAAGGAGAAGAGCGCCGACAAAACGAGACUCUGUGAGCAGCUGUGAGACAAACCUCCCCGAGACUCCGGGUGUUGCUGUUUAUAAUUCAACUUCAGUCACACACACUUAAGCAAAGCAUUUGGGCGUUUAUUGUCACACUUAGUGGAGCUUCACGUUCCGCCGGGAGAACAAAUCCCAGAGCAUAAAUCACACGAAGAGGCGUUCCCGGGGAGCCGUCCAGGAGACUGGAGUCAAAAUGUAACUGUGAACGUGGUUGGAGGUGACAUUGGAACGUUAACCAAGUCUUCUUCUUGAUGUUCUGUGAAAGAACAGAAGUGUUCCUUCAGGCUGAAGGAUCACGGAGAGAGGACGGAGAUUACGUGAUUUCAAGACCGAAAACUGAGACAAUCGUACGAGGUGAUCAAUCUAGUGGGGUCAUUUUACCAGAGAUUCAUGUACACUUCCAUCCCCAUCGCCCCACUUACAGACAGAAAAUCCAUCGACAACAAUUCUACGAAUAAAGUAACUGCCGAACAUUUGCUGGUCCCAGAUUCUCAAAUGAGGAAAAAGCUAUUUAAUUGACAAAUGUUUUUAGAAUACCCACCAUUACCCAACAGAGCAUAAAACAUAAAACUGUUAGAAGACGUAUAUCUGGACAUAUUUAUUUUAUCUCAGGGUGUGUGAGAGCCUCGUGGUAAUAUCCACCAAUCUCCACCUCACCUUCAAAACGUCACCUGGUCUGAGUGCCGCAGGAUAUCGCUCCGUUUUUAAAAAAGUAAAUAAAGCGACAGAUUUGAAUUUAAUGACCUAAUAAUUCAUUAAAUCUUUCUGCGGUGUCAAAUCCCAGAGCCGAGGCGGCGGGGAGCCGGGGAACAGCGUCCGCCCUGCAGUUUGAAUGUUUGUUAUCUGCUAGGAAACCAAUUACGCCUGACAGAGUUUCAGCCGGGCUGAGGCACAAUGCCGCUGCUCGACGUGCAUUUUGAUGUGCGGCAUCCGGACCGUUUCCUGCACCUCAGUCGACGUUUCCCAAAGUCGGGAUAGUGGAUGAAAUGUUAGAAUUAUCUUUUUGAAAUGCAGAAAAGUGUUUGCACUGGAGAACGAUGGACGAGAGAGUUAUCUCUCGCUUACAAUGUGUUGAUAGGUCGGAUUUUUGUAUUUGGCUUCACUAUCUCUUCAGUGUUUUGGCUUUGGUUUAUUUUAAUAUGUAUUUGAAAUAUACCCAAGUAAAUAGAAGGCGGGUGUUGAUUGGGGAACAGAAGAGGAACUGAGGCCGUUGUUUUAUGUGGUGAACCAUCAGUAAUCGGACACGUGACUAAACUUCAUUUUUCAUUUAAAUGGUUUAUAGCAUUAAUUCAUAUCAUAGACAAUAUAUUAUCAAUAGCGUUUGGCCACGUAUUGUAUGUCCUUGUUGUUUCUUUGGUUGCAGCAUCCUUUGCCCAGAUGUUGAAUCACGGCGACACGCCGAUUUAUGUUUGACGCCGACGUUUAUUGCCGAUUCAGGAGGUCGUGUGUCCUGCAGAGUGUGCAGCGGAGCACAACGUAGAGGUGGACGGAUGUGUGUUCACAGACCUUCAAUGACUUUUUAGGUUGACCUUUACCUCGACCCAUCCUUCACCUCGCUCAAACGCUGCAGUCGGCUAAACACAACCAGCCUUUAGGCUCCCUCAGUGAAUGUGGGUCUGCAACGGAAUAAAGAGACGCCAGUGACGGAUGCUGAGAUGCUUUUUAGGGUAAAAAACAAUCAGAUGUCUCAUCACGGCAAAGGCAACUGUGUGAGUGAAAGUCCCGUCCUGCAAAGUUCCCCUGUAGCUUUGCCGAGCAGCCUGGUGGCCGUGACGACCUGUAGCACAUUGCAUGAGGAUGAGGAGGACUCUGUUGGAGUAAAGAACAAGGAGGCGAUUUAAAGUGGACACCUUCAGCUUCACAUUGGUAGAUUAUGGUUUCAUACUGAUAAACUUUACCUUUCUAUUGGUAGAUUAUGGUUUCAUACUGAUAAACUUUACCUUUCUAUUGGUAGAUUAUGGUUUCAUACUGAUAAACUUUACCUUUCUAUUGGUAGAUUAUGGUUUCAUACUGAUGACAUUAGUCUUUAAGCGGUUUAGACCUGAAUGAGCUCCUGAGAGCAGCAGUGGCUCAAUCAUCUUGAUUUUAAUUCUGCAAACUAGUAAAGCAGUUUAUUCGAUUAAGAGACACUCAGUGGAACAUUGUUCUUGACGGUGGUUGUCACACGAACAUCUACGUUAUCGACGUGAAGUGAGUCAAAUGCUGAAGAGCAAAGUGGGAAACGCUCUCCUCGGAGCUGAAGGUCAGACCCAUCCGUCUUGUCUUGUGAUUUAAAUGAAGUCAAAUGACUCCGUGCUGCCGUGGUCCCCGUCAAGGACGAGCCGGUGGUUAUGAUCUGCCCUUCUCCUCCUCCUCCUCCUCCACCAUCUCUUUCGGCCUGUGCAGUAGAUCAUUAAUCUGAGCGUGUGCGCUUUUGACUGAGCUGCAAAUAGGCCCUAACGGCCUCCCUCUAGUUCCUGCCACCGCAGAUAACUGUCACGCCGAGGAUUGAAGCGCAGAGUCAUGCGCCCCCCCCUCCCUCCCGGGGGGGCGCCCCCGAGCUGCCCGUCUCCUCCAUCACUGCCACUGACCCUCUAGUAAGCCCGACCCCGCCCAGUGGAUGGAGCUGAGGCGGUGUCCUUGCCAGGAGGCGGUUGGAGGAGCAAAGCUUCGUUGGUUGGUUUCUUUUUGGGCUCCAGGAAACGAUCCCAAAACGUUUGUCUGGCUUUGUAUGUUUUUUUAUUGGACUCCAGUUGAUCUGAAGGGGGAGACGCUCCUCAAAUCUUCACUCGAAGUCUUCUCGCGGGCUUUUCUCCCGCUGACUAACUCGAACCAUCCUAAUUAACAGGCUACUCGAGAAGUUUGUCAUCACCGAGCCUCGCGCUUCAUCAUUUCUCUCCCUCAGAAAUGUGCGCGUGCUUUUUGGAGUGUGAAAUCGCCCGAAUGAAUUGACUCUCAUUUUUUUUUAUUUUCCCAACGUAAUCGGCGGAUAAUGGGCUCAGAGCUGAAGGCGUGGAUGCUAAUUUCAACAUCAAUUAUUGCCAUUCAGGGAGAACCCGAUAAUUGAUAGCAGCUACACGAACACAACCAACCAUAUUGCUUUCAUUUUCAGAGUAAUUAAGGGCUCGCCGAUCUCAUCAGGAAUCUCAAUCAGGAAUCCUUGCAUUUAUAAACCAAAGCUGUGCUCUUGAAUGUAUUUACACGACGCUCUCCUGCUUGUUGGUAAAUGCAGAGCGACGGGACUCACUUGACAGCAAAGGGAAGUCUUUUAUUAUGAAGUACGAGGCAAAUGUGACCGAAUCAAGGAAAUGCAUUUUGAUCAUUAAGCAGGAUUCACAAAUACAUUAUUUUCACCCUGCGCUGGAGGAUGGACGAGCAUUGAAACAUCGGCUCUUCCACGACAGAUUUUGAUCAAUUAUUUUCUAAACUUAUGGACCUUUAGUGUUUACACUGAUACUAGUUGCACAUUUACUAAUUAUAGAAGACAUGAACUAUUUCUAAUUGAUGGAAAAAGAUCAAAUGCAUAAUGUGUCUUCACAGCUUGUACGACUUUAAUGAGCUUUAAAGUGAUUGACACGUUGUUAUUGGACAAAUUCUGCAUUAUUUGUUUACAUUUCUUUUACUUUUUGUACCUUGCCAAUCCAUUCGUACUGUUACUUAAGUAAAGUAAAACUUAAUGCUCGGUUCACCCUGAAAACUGAUUAUUUCUUAAUUUUAGUCUUGCUUCAUUCAUCAUAAUGUGGAGAGCGCGCAGGCAACAUCUAGCGUUGUGCUUGCAGGUUACAUACCUCGACCACUCCUCCCUUUCUGCGUUAAAGUUGAGCCUCUUCAGAAAAAUGACACCAUUUAGAAAAGAUGAAAACCUCUUUAAUACCAAUUAACGAAGAGAAAAUUACCAGCGUCCCUUCCUGCUUGGAAGGCUGCUUGUUUUCUUGGAUCUGUUUCAAAGUCACGGGGCAGGAGCCCUGAAGGACACGUUUAACACCGAGGAAGAAGAACGGGCGUCUCUGGUGCAUUGACUAACUGGGUGAUGAAUGAAUUACGCUGCCUAAAUUUAGCCGGGCGCUCUACCUUGAAAUCGCAGCUGGGUUUCCAUCUUGGAGGUGCAGACGGGCCGCGUAUGGCGCCAUAAGCCGCGACCUUCUUUGUUUUUUUCCGCAAAAAAAAAGAGAAAGAUUGAUGUCCGACCAAACGUAUCACAGCUGCCAGAAUGACGUAGUGAGAUGGCGUGUUGUGAGAUGGCGUGUUGUGAGACGGCGUGUUGCUCACACAUUAGUCCGACUGGUCGGGGUCGGUUUGUCUGAGAGGGGCUCGAUAAUGUGUGCAAAUAAGAGUUUGAGCCACUCAAACAUUUCUCUCCGGCUUUGAUGCUUUGGGGAUGUUUGUUUCUAACUGACCUCAUUUUUGUUCAUUUGUGGCAACAUUUAAAAUUGGCUACAUUUAGUUAUUGUUCACAUUAUGGAAAGUUCCUGAACAGCAUUUCAAAUAACGGCUUUACUUUCAAAAUAAUUUUGUUGUGGGAACCUAAACGUUUUGUUGUAUUUAUCAGGUAUCCUGCUCACGUGGCACAAAGUAUUAGCUUUCCAUAAUGUAUCCAGAGAAGCUGGUUUUUCAUUGGAACCUUCAUACACGUUUACUCUCUUAAAUCCGUCCCAUUAAACCUCAAAUCCCCGGAGGCAAACCGUUUGGGUGAUUGACAGCACAGAAGCGUGCUGACGAGUCAUCUUUUGAAUCAAGGGAGGAUUUAAUUAAUACUGAAACAACCUGAUGAGGACGACCCACCGCUCAUGCAGAGAGGGGACCUGCAGCACCACUUAAUUUCCACUGCAAAUUGGCACUUAACAGGAGCUGAAGGCGUUUGAGGACAUCCACACUCGAAAGAGAAAAAUUAAAUUUCACUUUGAUGGUCGGCUCCGCCCAACAUGACGGAGAGGAGACCCCAAAAGCUUUUAUCCAUUGCGAUGGUUUCCAGUUCAAGCUGACGAAAAGGUCCCUGGAGUUGUGUGUCAAAAAGGAAAGAGAUGUUGGCGGUUUCUUAUUAUUAAACACCAGGACAUGGG